ACAACAUUCGGACCGUCGGUCUACCGAGUAAUUUCACCCGCUCCGUGGAAGAUUUUCCCAUUCGUCGU
rnacentral:pre_miRNA from 1 species